rnacentral:rRNA from 1 species
AUUGAACGCUGGCGGCAUGCUUUACACAUGCAAGUCGAACGGGUAACAGGGCCUUCGGGUGCUGACGAGUGGCGAACGGGUGAGUAAUGUAUCGGAACGUACCUUUCAGUGGGGGAUAACGUAGCGAAAGUUACGCUAAUACCGCAUAUUCUGUGAGCAGGGAAAGCAGGGGAUCGCAAGACCUUGCGCUGAUUGAGCGGCCGAUAUCAGAUUUAGCUAGUUGGUGAGGUAAAGGACUCACCAAAGGCGACGAUCUGUAGCGGGUCGUGAGAGGAUGAUCUGCCACACUGGAACUGAGACACGGUCCAGACUCCUAC